AUACGGAGGGUGCAAGCGUUACUCGGAAUCACUGGGCGUAAAGCGCGCGCAGGCGGCUAUUUAAGUUGGAUGUGAAAGCCUACGGCUCAACCAUAGAACUGCAUCCAAAACUAUUUAGCUAGAGUGUGGGAGAGGAAGAUGGAAUUAGUUGUGUAGGGGUAAAAUCCGUAGAGAUAACUAGGAAUACCAAAAGCGAAGGCAAUCUUCUGGAACACUACUGACGCUGAGGGACGAAAGCGUGGGGAGCAAACAGGAUUAGAAACCCCAGUAGUCC
rnacentral:rRNA from 1 species